AUUGAACGCUGGCGGCAGGCCUAACACAUGCAAGUCGAACGGUAACAGGAGCAGCUUGCUGCUUUGCUGACGCGUGGCGGACGGGUGAGUAAUGUCUGGGAAACUGCCCGAUGGAGGGGGAUAACUACUGGAAACGGUAGCUAAUACCGCAUAACGUCGCCAGACCAAAGAGGGGGACCUUAGGGCCCCUUGCCAUCGGAUGUGCCCAGAUGGGAUUAGCUAGUAGGUGGGGUAACGGCUCACCUAGGCGACGAUCCCCAGCUGGUCUGAGAGGAUGACCAGCCACACUGGAACUGAGACACGGUCCAGACUCCUACGGGAGGCAGCAGUGGGGAAUAUUGCACAAUGGGCGCAAGCCUGAUGCAGCCAUGCCGCGUGUAUGAAGAAGGCCUUCGGGUUGUAAAGUACUUUCAGCGGGGAGGAAGGGAGUAAAGUUAAUACCUUUGCUCAUUGACGUUACCCGCAGAAGAAGCACCGGCUAACUCCGUG
rnacentral:rRNA from 1 species